UGCCCUUCACUCUGGGACAAGCCCUGGAAACGGGGUCUAAUACCGGAUAACACUUACCUCCUCCUGGGGGUUGGUUAAAAGCUCCGGCGGUGAAGGAUGAGCCCGCGGCCUAUCAGCUUGUUGGUGGGGUAAUGGCCUACCAAGGCGACGACGGGUAGCCGGCCUGAGAGGGCGACCGGCCACACUGGGACUGAGACACGGCCCAGACUCCUACGGGAGGCAGCAGUGGGGAAUAUUGCACAAUGGGCGAAAGCCUGAUGCAGCGACGCCGCGUGAGGGAUGACGGCCUUCGGGUUGUAAACCUCUUUCAGCAGGGAAGAAGCGCAAGUGACGGUACCUGCAGAAGAAGCACCGGCUAACUACGUGCCAGCAGCCGCGGUAAUACGUAGGGUGCGAGCGUUGUCCGGAAUUAUUGGGCGUAAAGAGCUCGUAGGCGGUCUGUCACGUCGGAUGUGAAAGCCCGGGGCUUAACCCCGGGUCUGCAUUCGAUACGGGCAGACUAGAGUGUGGUAGGGGAGAUCGGAAUUCCUGGUGUAGCGGUGAAAUGCGCAGAUAUCAGGAGGAACACCGGUGGCGAAGGCGGAUCUCUGGGCCAUUACUGACGCUGAGGAGCGAAAGCGUGGGGAGCGAACAGGAUUAGAUACCCUGGUAGUCCACGCCGUAAACGUUGGGAACUAGGUGUUGGCGACAUUCCACGUCGUCGGUGCCGCAGCUAACGCAUUAAGUUCCCCGCCUGGGGAGUACGGCCGCAAGGCUAAAACUCAAAGGAAUUGACGGAAUCGAAUU
rnacentral:rRNA from 1 species